AUUGAACGCUGGCGGCAUGCCUUACACAUGCAAGUCGAACGGUAACGCGGGGCAACCUGGCGACGAGUGGCGAACGGGUGAGUAAUGUAUCGGAACGUGCCCAGUUGUGGGGGAUAACUGCUCGAAAGAGCAGCUAAUACCGCAUACGACCUGAGGGUGAAAGCGGGGGAUCGCAGGACCUCGCGCAAUUGGAGCGGCCGAUAUCAGAUUAGGUAGUUGGUGGGGUAAAGGCUCACCAAGCCAACGAUCUGUAGCUGGUCUGAGAGGACGACCAGCCACACUGGGACUGAGACACGGCCCAGACUCCUACGGGAGGCAGCAGUGGGGAAUUUUGGACAAUGGACGCAAGUCUGAUCCAGCCAUGCCGCGUGCAGGAAGAAGGCCUUCGGGUUGUAAACCGCUCUUGUCAGGGAAGAAACGCUCUGGGUUAAUACCUCGGGGUAAUGACGGUACCUGAAGAAUAAGCACCGGCUAACUACGUGCCAGCAGCCGCCGUAAGAC
rnacentral:rRNA from 1 species